GACGAACGCUGGCGGCGUGCUUAACACAUGCAAGUCGAACGGAAAGGCCCUGCUUUUGUGGGGUGCUCGAGUGGCGAACGGGUGAGUAACACGUGAGUAACCUGCCCUUGACUUUGGGAUAACUUCAGGAAACUGGGGCUAAUACCGGAUAGGAGCUCCUGCUGCAUGGUGGGGGUUGGAAAGUUUCGGCGGUUGGGGAUGGACUCGCGGCUUAUCAGCUUGUUGGUGGGGUAGUGGCUUACCAAGGCUUUGACGGGUAGCCGGCCUGAGAGGGUGACCGGCCACAUUGGGACUGAGAUACGGACCAGACUCGUACGGGAGGCAGCAGUGGGGAAUAUUGCACAGUGGGCGGAAGCCUGAUGCAGCAACGCCGCGUGCGGGAUGACGGCCUUCGGGUUGUAAACCGCUUUCGCCUGUGACGAAGCGUGAGUGACGGUAAAGGGUAAAGAAGCACCGGCUAACUACGUG
rnacentral:rRNA from 1 species